AUCAACUUUCGAUGGUAGGAUAGAGGCCUACCAUGGUAUCAACGGGUAACGGGGAAUUAGGGUUCGACUCCGGAGAGGGAGCCUGAGAAACGGCUACCACAUCCAAGGAUGGCAGCAGGCGCGCAAAUUACCCAAUCCCGACACGGGGAGGUAGUGACAAUAAAUAACAAUACGGGGUUCUUUAGGAUCUCGUAAUUGGAAUGAGUACAAUUUAAAUCUCUUAACGAGGAACAAUUGGAGGGCAAGUCUGGUGCCAGCAGCCGCGGUAAUUCCAGCUCCAAUAGCGUAUAUUAAAGUUGUUGCAGUUAAAAAGCUCGUAGUUGAAUUUCGGGAUCAAUAUUUCGGUCAUGCCGUUGGUAUGCACUUUUAUCAUUGAUUUCUCACCUUCUAAAGAACCGUAAUGCCAUUAAUUUGGUGUUACGGGGAAUUAGGACUGUUACCUUGAAAAAAUUAGAGUGUUUAAAGCAGGCUCACGCUUGAAUACAUUAGCAUGGAAUAAUGAAAUAGGACAUCCGAUUCUAUUUUGUUGGUUUCUAGGAUCGAUGUAAUGAUUAAUAGGGAUAGUUGGGGGCAUUAGUAUUCAAUUGUCAGAGGUGAAAUUCUUGGAUUUAUUGAAGACUAACUACUGCGAAAGCAUUUGCCAAGGAUGUUUUCAUUAAUCAAGAACGAAAGUUAGGGGAUCGAAGACGAUCAGAUACCGUCGUAGUCUUAACCAUAAACUAUGCCGACUAGGGAUCGGAUGAUGUUAAUUUUUUAAUGACUCAUUCGGCGCCUUACGGGAAACCAAAGUGUUUGGGUUC
rnacentral:rRNA from 1 species